GUUGCGUCUUCCUCCCGGGCGCCGAGGAGGUGGCAACGCGAGCGGGUGCAGGGCCCAGUCCAGUGCACUUGUUUAUUGUCGCGCCUCUGGUGCGAGCCAAGCUGCAGCAGACAUGAUGGGCCCGGGGCGAAGCGGGCGCUCGGUGGCCGUGUAAUUCGAGCGUGGGACUGUGCAAUUCUCGGAUUGGGAAAGGGAGGAGUGGAAAUAACCCCGGCAGUGCCAGGCUUGCUGGUGGUCAGGAACAGAUGAUUCCAGCCCUGUGCUGAUCGCCUGCCUUCCUCCUGCCAUUCAGAAUGCUGCUGUCUCGUGUACUUACUGUUAAGGAUCCUGGAAAAGGGAGUGGUUCCUCCUAGCUGCAAACAAGGGCGCUACUUUUCUUUUCUCUUUAAUAGAAUUACGUUUUAUAGGUGUGUCUAGGCAACACAAGGGAAUGUGAAAGACUUUCAGAGGGAAUGUUUGUGAAUACAUCUGGUGUGUACUAAAAAGCUGGAAAACCCCUAAGUAAAUGCAAUAUCGAUAGAAAGCGAGUUUCUUGAAGAGUCAUCUGCUAAACUCCACUAGAGUCAUCUCUACGCCCAUAGGUCAAAUAAAAGAUUAAUAAUUUAGACAUAUCAGCUGUAAAUUCAUAAGAACCAUAUGGAUGUCCAAGUGGAGGUGGAGGAGGUGAUUAAGAUGGAAAAAGGCAACCAUGAAUGAAGACACACAGAUCCUCAACCUUUAAAACGGGUGUGGUUAAGAGAAAAAAAAAUUGCCAUUAAGGAAUCAGCAAAUAGGAUGUCUGAAGUGAGGAUAUAGCACCUAUCUCUGAGAUUAAAGUCAUCUGAUCAAAAAUGAUGCCUCUGAGACUAUAACAAAGGAAUGAAUAAUGAAAUAUAAGAAUGGGGAUUCUGCACUAACUCUAUGGGGAAGAAAACAAUGACUGCUAGUGGGAAGACUUAGGCAUGUCAACUUUUCCUUUGUGGGAGAGGUUAGGAGGCUGAGUGGAUGAUCAAAAGUGCUGCAACACAGAGAUCAGCUGAGUCUGAAAGGGGAAGACAAUCCAUUGUGCUGAUUAUAAGUAUCCUUCCGUUCUAGAUAGGUAUAAGUUUUAAUUUUACACUGGGUUGGAGAACUCUAAGGAAUUUAGACAUAUAAGUUAUUUUUCUUAUUCAACUUUCAUUAAAGAAAACAGUUGUAAUGUUUUGUUUGUUUGUUAAAAAAAAAAGAAAAGAAAAGAAAGAAAAGAGGGCCAGGCACGGUGACGUCUCUGUUCAUCAUGAGAAAUGCUCAGCGACUGCAGACAUAAAGAGAAAGCUUUCAAUUAAAGUUUCAAUGAUGGGAUAGGAACUGAGAAGUCUGUGGAGUUUUCUGCCUAGGAGUACCCUUGGAAAAGCCACUGCUAUGCCCAACCAGCACUGGGAAUCCCAGAUCACAUGCAAUCAUAGGAGUUGCCCUGGAGGCAGAAGCUCAGCACAUGUUCUGGUACGAUAACAAUAUCAACUGAAUAUAAAAUAUUAAUGCCAUGGAUGAUCUCAGAAAUGAUUUCCUACAAAGUCCCAACCUAUCCUGGAACAUUUCUUAUGUGUGCUUGGGAGAUUGCAAGAGGACAACUCGGCUCUAAAAUCGAUGCAUUAACAUGUCAUUGGAAUUGACCUUGCCAAAAGAUGCCUCCCUAAAUCCACAAGAAUCUCCUUGUUUGAACACAGUUUCUAAUCCAGCUGUAAUGAAGACAGACAACAGUCAAAUUAACAGCUGAUCAGGAGGAGAAGUUCAUACUCCUUGAGCUGGAUCUAUCUGCACAUGCACCUGGCCCAGGAAGCUGAAAUGGGAGAUCUGAUGAGCAGUGGAGGACUGAACCAAAGCCCUUGGCUUUUGCUCCAUACCAGUCAGAGUCUCAUCAGGAUAUCAUGUUGCAUUGAGUAGUCAUGUCUCCACAGGCUUUUCUUGGCUGCGACUCUUACUCACGUUUUCCUUGGUUUUGCCCACCUUACAGUUUACAGUAGUGGUCAGGUAUUUUGUAGUAUGUCCCUCACUUGGGCUUUGCUUGAUGCUUAUCUCCUGAGAAAACUAGGGAUAUGUAUUUUGGGGAGGAAGGCCACAGAGAUGAAGUGACAUUCUUUUCACAUCAUAUCAAUGCUACAUACUAUCAAAAGGGCUUAUCACUGUUGAUGUUAAUUUUAAUCACCUGGCUAAGAUAUUCUUUUUCAGGAUUUUGACUUUAAAGUUACCCUUUAUGCUUUUCCUUCUCAUAAAGUGCUCUUUGAAAUGAAGUCACUCUGUGCAGCAGACAUUUAAAAAGCAGGAAAUUAUGGUGACAGAGUAUCUGUAUAAAUUAUUUGCAGUUCUUUUAUUUUCAGAGUUUGGAAUUAUAGCACUCCUAUAAAUCUUAUUACUAAUGGUGCCACAAAUUGUGUACUACUGAUAUGUAUUAGUGCACAACUUAAAGCAUGUGGACAUGAGCUGUAUUUGAAAAAACAUUCAGAUGGAAGAGCUACCUGAUUUGAAGUGAAUCUUAAUUGGAACUUAAUGAUGCCUCCUAGUAAUUUACUAUUUUAGCUGAACCUACAGUAUCAGCUGUAGCCCAGAAAAUAUAAGAGCUACAAUUCGUACAAUUCAACAUCAGCUGCCAAGGCCCACCUGGACUGCACCUGCAAAACCAGCUGUGGUUUCUUUGCUCUCACAAUUCAUGUCAGUGUUUUUCAGCCAAUGCAUCACUGGUUUCGAAUUUUAUACUGUUCCUCUCUCAGUCCUCCACCCCUCUAGUUUCUAAAUGAUAGAGAAUAAUUAGGUGAGGUUUAAACUCUCAGGAUUAUUCAGGGUUUGUGGAGAGUAGGAAGGUUUCUUCCAGGUUACAGCACAAUUUAAGGAGCCUGGCAAGAAGCAUCCAAUAUUAGCAAGUAGAAAAGCAGCAUAAGUAUGAGGUUGGAACUUCCCACGAUACUUAGUACAUGGAAAAAAAUGUAGAACAUACCAAAAAAAAAGCAAAUUGUAAAAAAAUUUCACAAAUAAAAAUACUGUUAUGAAAAUU
rnacentral:lncRNA from 1 species